UCGCGCACUGUUUAUUCAACAUGGUGGAAAAAUGAGUCGCGCACUGUUCACAAUUUUAAAAAAUGAGUUGCACACUGUUCAAAUUUGUGUCGCCCACAGAUCAACAUUGUGAAAAAAUGAGUUGCAAACUUUUUUUAAAUUGUGAAAAUUUGAGUCCCGAACUUCUUUAAAUUGUGAAAAUUUGAGUCGCAAAUUCCUUAAAUUAGGAAAACAAACACCUAUUCCCUUAAUAAGCAAAAAAAGCCCCGAGUCCAUAAUAAAAAUGUUUUAAGUUAAAAGAAAUUCUUAAUUAUUUUUAUAUCAUUUUGUAUUAAUAAUAUUGUGUCUAUUAAAGGUGUAAUUUGUUCAAGUUGUGCCAUAAAAAUGUUAUUAAAACACUCUAUUUUGAAAUGUUAUCUCCUGUUGGAUUUGUUUUAUUUCAUUAUAAUAUGAAAUGUUUUUCUUUUAAUGGCAGAAAGUUGCGACCACACAUUCCAUGGGUGAUGAUAUCUACCAAAAUUCUUGGCGGCACAGUUCUACCCUUGUCAGUUGCACUUGUCCGAGUUUUUCUCUGCCUCACAACCAACUCGAGAUAUUCCCCCCCCCCCCCAACUGCAUCCCGGCACAGCUUCACAUCAACCCAUCUAAUUAAUUUGUCGGAAAGGUUGACCACACAAAUUUUCUGUUUGGUUGUGGAGAUAGAAUCAUUUUUUUUGUGAAAGUUUGAUUUCAGACACUUAAAAAUUGAUAUUGUCAUGUAUUAUUAGGCAUGGCAGGCAUUAGCAAAGCAUCUCAAUCAAGUAUUAAUUAUUUUACUUUGUCAAUGUUAAUUCAUUGUGUAUGCUAUUCACCUGUUUGCCUUGCUUUUUAUAUAAAUGACACAAAAAAGGAAAGCAUUUGUAAAGAAUUAGUUAUUUUUUUUAUAUAAUCUUAGACGAGAUGUUUAGUGAAUAUUUGUCAUAAAUUCUUCUUUAACUGAUCAAAUCUGUCAUAUUUUAUUUAAAACGUGUUAAGUAUAUUUGUGUUACGUUUUAAAUGUUUAUCAUUACUGUUUUAAAUUGUGUUCAUCUGCAGCCAAUGAAUGGUAGCGGUGCACCUUUGUAUUUGUUUAAUUUUUUUCCAUUGAUUAAUGCUCAUUUAAUUUAUAUUUCCCUAUAGAUAUAUACUUAAUAAAGUGUUAGUUUUGUUUAAAAAAAAACAACUUAUUGUUUAUUAAUGUUCUAACUUCUGAAUAAAAUAUGAAUCGCU